GGUGGGAGGUUAAAGGAGACAGCUGGAGCAGGUGCAUACAGCACUGUAGGAGGAUGCUGGAUGAUCGACAGCUGGAUCAAAGUAUGUGUGUGAUGAUGCUGUUGUUGUGAUGAGGAGGAGGAGGAGGAGGAGGAGGGGUUUUGUGGUGAGAUCUGGGUGAGAGGUUGAGGGUGGGUGACUCAGCCCUCACAGCCACUUCCUUUGGCAUCUUCAGGAUGGAGAGAUGAAAGGAGGAGAGGGGAGCGAGUCAUCUUACGGUCAGCUGACUCACCAUAUAGGAGCGGGGAUACUGGGAAAAGGGAAGUAUGUAUGCAUGUAUGAGCCCUGUGGUGUUUGACAGAAGCACAAUUAUUCCAUUUCCCGUCACAUAACAGGAAUGCAGGGUGAGAUUCCUUCUCUGUGAGUCGUGCCCUCUCACCUGCCAUCACCAUGCGGAUACAAUUUCACCCUUCCCUUUCCCGCUUUUGGCCGGGGAAUUCCCCAGUUUGUGUGGUUUUUUUACUCAUGGAGGAAGUUGGAGGAAGUUGUUUGUAUAAGCCUUGUUGUUCUGGUAAUAAUUGAAUACUCAGAGUCAUGACUAGUUUAGCAAAACUAUGUUCUUGUUUUCUCCACGCAUGGUUUAUUUUGUUCAUUUAAAGGAGGUCUAAUGCAGCUCUUAAAUGUGGGAAAUGGAGGAAAAACACACUGUUGUGAGGUAUUUUCACAGCACGGAGGAAAUGAAUCUAGAGGAUUAUGUGGAAGGAGUGUGUAAAUGGAGUAAUUGCUUGUUUGUGUUGGCGAGAGCAGGGAUGCUUUGUCAUGCUGGAUGUGCGGUAUCUGUGUGUGUGUUUGUGAGAAAGAGAGAGCACUUGAGCAGCUGCUACUGUACAUUUUAUGUGAUGUAUAGCUAUUUAUCUUGUGAGAACUGUCCUCUAAAGCUUGUAAAACAUUCAUAUCUUCCCAGUUUACUUCCUCAUUACUUACUGUAAAUACGGAUAUUAAUACAGUGCAGUCUAUGUGCAUGUGUGUGUGUGUGGGUGCUUGUGUUGACUCACAGUUACAAUAAUGACUCUGGCAAAACAGUGGAUGAACAGCUCAUGCUGACUGUAAAGAGCAGAGAGAGAGAGAGAGAGAGGAAGAGAGAGAGAGAGAGGCGAGGGGGCUGUGCUCUCAGUGGCAUCUCCAUCUCAUAACUCCUCUGCCGCUCAGUGCGUUCAUACACGCACACACACUCUACAAACACACACACACACUCACAUAGAGGCUAAAGCUCCUACAGUACAGUAUAUUACUUUAGUAGGGUACGGGUUUGGGGCUGACUUUCAGUCGGAACAGCAAGUGUGAGAACGGCUCCAGGGAGGAAAUAAUGCAUCGUGUGGUAGGUGGCCAAGCAUUUGCAACAGAACGGACCAUCGAGCAGUGAGAGGACAGCUUCCUUCUUCAGACAACAACUUUUGACCUACAUCUGCAUCCAAUUAGCCACACAAGUCUUACCAUUCCUUCUUACGCAAUAUCAAGAAUAAUUUUUUCUGUAUCCAACGUGUCUUGUACUGCAUAUUUGUAGCACAGUGCACUGUCUGUAACAAUCAGAGGAUUUGUUGAGUGAAGGACUGCACUCAGAAACUGAUUUCAUUUGGUGACGUAGAUGUUUGUACCCAGUCUCUAGCACCAUAUGAAAUCAGUGUUCUGGGAGGUGGACUAUCAGCAUGUACAGACUCUGUACAUGAAUAAUCUGAAAUACAACAUGUUCUUGUGAUGCCUAAAAGUAGGUCACAUUUGUAUAAAUUACUGUACUCUCCUGCUUCAUUCACUAACUGGUCACAGCUGCUGUCCUGCUUCUCAUUACAUCUUUUUUCCCUAUGCCUGUGUCUCCCAUCAACUCAGACAUAUAUAUGUUAUCAUGAGUCCACCUUUAUUCAUCUAUGAAUUCAGUUUCCAUCAUUUGUGUUGCUUUAAUACAUUUUCUAAGUUUAACUGAAUGCAUAAUAAUCUAUCUAAAGUUAACAUCAGUUUACAUUACUUACUUACUUUGUGUUUUGUACUCCAUAAAUGUCAGUGUUAUAAUAAACUUUUUAAUCAUAAUAAAA